rnacentral:rRNA from 1 species
UACAGAGGGUGCAAGCGUUAAUCGGAAUUACUGGGCGUAAAGCGCACGCAGGCGGUUGGUUAAGUCAGAUGUGAAAGCCCCGGGCUCAACCUGGGAAUUGCAUUUGAAACUGGCCAACUAGAGUAUGUGAGAGGGGGGUAGAAUUCCAAGUGUAGCGGUGAAAUGCGUAGAGAUUUGGAGGAAUACCAGUGGCGAAGGCGGCCCCCUGGCACAACACUGACGCUCAGGUGCGAAAGCGUGGGGAGCAAACAGG